rnacentral:rRNA from 1 species
GACAGAGGGUGCAAACGUUGUUCGGAAUUACUGGGCGUAAAGCGAGUGUAGGCGGUUUGGAUAGUCGGAUGUGAAAGCCCCGGGCUCAACCCGGGAAGUGCAUUCGAUACUCCCAAGCUAGAGUAUCGGAGAGGUUGGUGGAAUUCUCGGUGUAGAGGUGAAAUUCGUAGAUAUCGAGAGGAACACCGGUGGCGAAGGCGGCCAACUGGACGAAUACUGACGCUGAGACGCGAAAGCGUGGGGAGCAAACAGG